rnacentral:rRNA from 1 species
UGGGGAAUCUUCCGCAAUGGACGAAAGUCUGACGGAGCAACGCCGCGUGAGUGAAGAAGGUUUUCGGAUCGUAAAACUCUGUUUUCAGGGACGAAUGUGCAGCUUGUAAAUAAUGAGUUGUAAUGACGGUACCUGAGUAGAAAGCCACGGCUAACUACGUGCCAGCAGCCGCGGUAAUACGUAGGUGGCAAGCGUUGUCCGGAAUUAUUGGGCGUAAAGCGCGCGCAGGUGGGAUAUUAAGUCUGGUGUUAAAGUUCGGGGCUCAACCCCGUGAAGCAUUUGGAAACUGAUAUUCUUGAGUGCAGGAGAGGAAAGUGGAAUUCCUAGUGUAGCGGUGAAAUGCGUAGAUAUUAGGAGGAACACCAGUGGCGAAGGCGACUUUCUGGACUGUGUCUGACACUGAGGCGCGAAAGCCAGGGUAGUGAACG